UACGAAGGGGGCUAGCGUUGCUCGGAAUGACUGGGCGUAAAGGGCGCGUAGGCGGACAGUUUAGUCAGAGGUGAAAGCCCAGGGCUCAACCUUGGAACUGCCUUUGAUACUGACUGUCUUGAGUUCGGGAGAGGUGAGUGGAAUGCCGAGUGUAGAGGUGAAAUUCGUAGAUAUUCGGCGGAACACCAGUGGCGAAGGCGACUCACUGGCCCGAUACUGACGCUGAGGCGCGAAAGCGUGGGGAGCAAACAGG
rnacentral:rRNA from 1 species